rnacentral:tRNA from 1 species
AGGGAAGUGUGCCCGAAACCCAGGGACUACUUUGAUAGAGUAGGUCACAGAGGUUAAAAUCCUCUCAUUUCC